rnacentral:rRNA from 1 species
UGCUAAUCUGCGAUAAGCGUCGGUAAGGUGAUAUGAACCGUUAUAACCGGCGAUUUCCGAAUGGGGAAACCCAGUGUGUUUCGACACACUAUCAUUAACUGAAUCCAUAGGUUAAUGAGGCGAACCGGGGGAACUGAAACAUCUAAGUACCCCGAGGAAAAGAAAUCAACCGAGAUUCCCCCAGUAGCGGCGAGCGAACGGGGAGCAGCCCAGAGCCUGAAUCAGUGUGUGUGUUAGUGGAAGCGUCUGGAAAGGCGCGCGAUACAGGGUGACAGCCCCGUACACAAAAAUGCACAUGCUGUGAGCUCGAUGAGUAGGGCGGGACACGUGGUAUCCUGUCUGAAUAUGGGGGGACCAUCCUCCAAGGCUAAAUACUCCUGACUGACCGAUAGUGAACCAGUACCGUGAGGGAAAGGCGAAAAGAACCCCGGCGAGGGGAGUGAAAAAGAACCUGAAACCGUGUACGUACAAGCAGUGGGAGCACGCUUAGGCGUGUGACUGCGUACCUUUUGUAUAAUGGGUCAGCGACUUAUAUUCUGUAGCAAGGUUAACCGAAUAGGGGAGCCGAAGGGAAACCGAGUCUUAACUGGGCGUUAAGUUGCAGGGUAUAGACCCGAAACCCGGUGAUCUAGCCAUGGGCAGGUUGAAGGUUGGGUAACACUAACUGGAGGACCGAACCGACUAAUGUUGAAAAAUUAGCGGAUGACUUGUGGCUGGGGGUGAAAGGCCAAUCAAACCGGGAGAUAGCUGGUUCUCCCCGAAAGCUAUUUAGGUAGCGCCUCGUGAAUUCAUCUCCGGGGGUAGAGCACUGUUUCGGCAAGGGGGUCAUCCCGACUUACCAACCCGAUGCAAACUGCGAAUACCGGAGAAUGUUAUCACGGGAGACACACGGCGGGUGCUAACGUCCGUCGUGAAGAGGGAAACAACCCAGACCGCCAGCUAAGGUCCCAAAGUCAUGGUUAAGUGGGAAACGAUGUGGGAAGGCCCAGACAGCCAGGAUGUUGGCUUAGAAGCAGCCAUCAUUUAAAGAAAGCGUAAUAGCUCACUGGUCGAGUCGGCCUGCGCGGAAGAUGUAACGGGGCUAAACCAUGCACCGAAGCUGCGGCAGCGACGCUGAUGCGUUGUUGGGUAGGGGAGCGUUCUGUAAGCCUGCGAAGGUGUGCUGUGAGG